rnacentral:lncRNA from 1 species
UUUAUCAAAUUUAUGCAUUACCUUCUUUUGUUUGACCUUUACCCUUUUAGAGGAGCAUACUAUUUCUUAACUAAUAUUUCCUAGGAAUGUCCAAUUCCAGGUUGCAUGUGGAGUCAUUCAGUUGUCAUUACUUGUUACUUGGUACUCUGUUCUUUCUCAGUUUCUUUGGCUAGCGUGUUCCUUCUCCUAUUCCUUAAACCACCCUUAAUCCAAUUGGCAAGCAUAGCAUGGUAAUAUGAUAUCUUUUAGCUUCAAUAGCUGUCCCAUCUACUCCAUAUCUAUCCUCAUGGCCAGCCAGCCACCCACAGGGCCAGUGUAGACCCUUAUCAAGUCUUACGUGGACCACUAAGGACUGAUCCUAACUGGAUUCCUGGCUUUAUAACCUGUCCCUUAGGUUGUUCACUGAGUCUUUAAGCUGUACAAAGGCAGAACGUCGCUCUUAAUCAUUACAGAAACUCUAUUGUAUUUAGACCCCACAAAACCUGAACUUCUCUUGAUUUUACCUCAGACAGAAAUUGCUUAGAACAGAUUCUCUGACUGUAAAUAUCUGAAAAAAAUAGAAGAAAGUCAGUGUGUGUGUGUGUGUGUGUGUGUGUGUGUGUGUAAUUUCCUCAUUCAAGUUAUUCCAGUGAGAGAGAAAUUGCUUUGAGUUUUUUAGGAGGGUGCUUUAACCAAAAAUUUAUUUCUUUCAGGGCAUUCUUGGGACCACUUUGUGACCUUUUAAUCCUAUGUCUAAAGAAGGACAACCACGGGCUUCCUACCUGGCUGUGGAGACUCCUGGAUAUAACAGCCAAGGCACUUCCCCUCUUCCAGUGGUUCUCAUCCCACCCCUAACCUAUUCCUCGCACAGGAGGCUUCCUGUCCCUUACCAGCUCAGUCUGUCUGUCUCUUCAAUCCGGGUCCUGAAAUUCACGUGAUCAUGUGGAAAAGAGAAAUGCCUCGGGAUGGAGAGGUGGACAAAUGGCGGUCCUCUGUAGUGGAUUCCUCUUUUCAGAAGUCCUCCAUCAGGCUGGCCUGGGUGCUUCUUGGCAACAGAUGGAACAGUAGGAUGAGAAAUGGGAUGAGUAGGCUUUUCUCAAGUCUCUGCAUAUGUCACAACUAUCAACAUCCUACUGAUCAAAAGUUGAUGGACUUGAUGCACAGCUGAAGAUGUGAAGUAUAAGGAGAAGCAAAGGGCUCCCUGUGACAAGUGGUCUCAUCUCAUCCUCUGCACCAGGGCUGGGGGUUGAACAGGACAGCACUACGUUGCAGGUUUGCUGCCUCCUGUGGUUGUGUGCCCCCUCUUCAUAUUAAAGCUUUUGCUCCUGGUAUCUCAGAUUAGACUGUAUUUGGAGAUAAAGUCUUUAAAGAGGUAAGUAAAUUUAAUUGAGUUCAAAUGGUGGGCCCUCAUACAACAUGGCUGCUGUCCUUGUAAGAAAAAAUUAGGACAUAGACACCCACAGGGAGAAGAGGAGAAGAUGAUCAUUUACAAGUCAACAUGCCUCAUAAGAAACCAGGCCUGUUGACACCUUGAUUUUGGACUUACAGCCCCUGGAAAUGAGAGAAAAUAAGUUUCUGUUUAAGUAAUGCAACUGUGGUACUUCAUUAUGGCAGCCCUAGAAAACAAAUGCACAACUUUUGUUCAUAAACAAAAUUGAGGAGGAGACUUAUUAGAAGAAAACUACCAAUCCCACCCCCAGAGCAGGUCUGAGGGUGAUUCCACAUUGCUUGCCUUGGAGACACAUGGAGGCUCCAAGACAUGGAUGGACAGGAAAGCUCAGGGGACCCCUUCAGAGUGGCCAGCGAUAACAAGGGACGGCUGGUACUGUAGUCUUUUCAUGUGGCCUUCCCGGGGCUUUGCAAAAUGUUCCGACUUGUUCCUUGUAGGCUGAUGCUAAAUUCCAUUCAUUAGCAAGUUUCCCACUAGCCUCCUUUUAUGGGUUCCUCAGGAGUUACUCUCUUGCUUUAACUUGCAGUCAUCUGAAAUGUGGUGUCUUCAGCAAAUUUGCCCACUUCAUUAUAUGUGAUCGUUCUUCUAGGCCAUUUAGCUCUUCUUCCAGCUCUUAAUAAAUAAAUACUGAUCCUAAGACCCAAACCCAAGAGGCCAUAGAUUUAAUUGCUUUCCAUGCUGAGAAAGAAUCAUUUAUUAGCACUGUGCAAAGCACUCUGUUUAAAAACUCCAAACCACAUGAAAUGCUACAAGUUCUGAGCUAGAGCCUAGCAGGAAAAACAGCCAAGUUUCAUCUGAACUUUGUUAGGCCUCAUGACCUUUUACAAAACCUCAAAGCAAACAUAAUUCAGCCCCUGGAUAGGCUCAAUCUCAGAGUUUAGUGUUGGCAUUUGUUUGGUUUUGUAGCAGCUGCUUAUAUCACAAAUCCCCACUUCUGGUUAAAAAAAAAUCCAUGAGAUGGCUUCAACCCAGUGUGAUGUUCUGUUUUAUUUUUGUUUUGUAACAUGUCUAUUAAUUGUGAAACUCAAGACUCCUUUGGAAAGCUAGCUCUACAGAACAAGCUGUGGGUUUAAAAUUGCCAGGCAAAUUGGGACCAAGAGGUUGAAGUGGAAUUCAGUGAGAAACCAAUCGUAGUAACUCUGGCUGGAGUGAUGAGAGAAGGAGGAGAUGAGGGUGAGAGCAGGGAGGUCAAAGAAAAAUAGUUUUUUUGUUUGUUUUAAAAAAGAAAACCUGGGGCUGAGGCAUUGCCUGGACACAGUGGGUUGGUGGUAAGAAUUUGACUGACCUCUUCAAGACGUAAUCUAUAGAUUCCUUGUGCCUUUGACUU